UACGUAGGUGACAAGCGUUGUCCGGAUUUACUGGGCGUAAAGAGCGCGCAGGCGGUCGAUCAAGUCGAGUGUGAAAGCCCCCGGCUCAACUGGGGAGGGUCACGCGAUACUGGUCGACUCGAAGGCAGGAGAGGGUAGUGGAAUUCCCGGUGUAGUGGUGAAAUGCGUAGAUAUCGGGAGGAACACCAGUGGCGAAGGCGACUACCUGGCCUGUUCUUGACGCUGAGGCGCGAAAGCUAGGGGAGCAAACGGGG
rnacentral:rRNA from 1 species